GGGGAUUUAGCUCAGUGGUUUGAGCGUUUGCCUAGGAAGCACAAGGCCCUGGGUUCGGUCCCCAGCUCCG
rnacentral:tRNA from 1 species